rnacentral:rRNA from 1 species
GACGAACGCUGGCGGCGUGCUUAACACAUGCAAGUCGAACGGGCCCGCCCCUGUUUUUGGGGGUGGGUUGAGUGGCGAACGGGUGAGUAUCACGUGAGUAACCUGCCCCCUGCUCCUGGAUAACUGCUUGAAAGGGCGGCUAAUACGGGGUGUGCCGGCUGGUCCGCAUGGGCCUGGUCGGGAUAGUUUCAUCUUCGGGUGUUUCGGUGGGUGAUGGGCUCGCGGCCUAUCAGCUUGUUGGGGGGGUGAUGGCCCACCAAGGCGGUGACGGGUAGCCGGCCUGAGAGGGUGGGCGGACACACUGGGACUGAGACACGGCCCAGCCUCCUGCGGGAGGCAGCAGUGGGGGGUGUUGAACGAUGGGCGGAAGCCUGAGGCAGCGACGUCGCGUGAGGGAUGGAGGCCUUCGGGUUGGGAACCUCUUUCUCCGGUGGUGAAGGCCCUGUCCGUUGCGGCGGGGUUGACGGUAGCCGGGUAUGAAGCGCCGGCUAACUACGUG